rnacentral:rRNA from 1 species
UACGUAGGGUGCGAGCGUUAAUCGGAAUUACUGGGCGUAAAGCGUGCGCAGGCGGUUUUGUAAGCUUGAUGUGAAAUCCCCGGGCUUAACCUGGGAACUGCAUUGAGGACUGCAAGGCUAGAGUACGGCAGAGGGGGGUGGAAUUCCACGUGUAGCAGUGAAAUGCGUAGAUAUGUGGAGGAACACCGAUGGCGAAGGCAGCCCCCUGGGCCUGUACUGACGCUCAUGCACGAAAGCGUGGGGAGCAAACAGG